UCUGGUUGAUCCUGCCAUAUGCUUCUCUCAAGGACUAAGCC
rnacentral:rRNA from 1 species